CCUACGGGAGACAGCAGUGAGGAAUAUUGGUCAAUGGGCUUACGCCUGAACCAGCCAAGUCGCGUGAGGGAAGACUGCCCUAUGGGUUGUCAACCUCUUUUGUCAGGGAGCAAUUGGCGCUACGUGUAGCGUUAUCGAGAGUACCUGAAGAAAAAGCAUCGGCUAACUCCGUGCCAGCAGCCGCGGUAAUACGGAGGAUGCGAGCGUUAUCCGGAUUGAUUGGGUUUACAGGGUGCGUAGGCGGAAUGCCAAGUCAGCGGUAAAAUCGCGGGGCUCAACCUCGCUCCGCCGUUGAAACUGGCGUUCUUGAGUGGGCGAGAAGUAUGCGGAAUGCGUGGUGUAGCGGUGAAAUGCAUAGAUAUCACGCAGAACUCCGAUUGCGAAGGCAGCAUACCGGCGCCCAACUGACGCUGAAGCACGAAAGCGUGGGUAUCGAACAGGUUUAGAUACCCGGGUAGUC
rnacentral:rRNA from 1 species